rnacentral:tRNA from 1 species
GCCUUAAUGGUGUAAGGGAUAGCACACUCGGCGCGUAUUCGAGAGAUCCAGGUUCGAAUCCCGGCGAGGGCA